AGGGUUUGAUUCUGGCUCAGGAUGAACGCUGGCGGCGUGCUUAACACAUGCAAGUCGAACGGAGAACCCUUGACGGAGUUUUCGGACAACGGAUAGGAAUUCUUAGUGGCGGACGGGUGAGUAACGCGUGAGGAACCUGCCUUGGAGAGGGGAAUAACACAGAGAAAUUUGUGCUAAUACCGCAUGAUGCAGUUGGGUCGCAUGGCUCUGACUGCCAAAGAUUUUAUCGCUCUGAGAUGGCCUCGCGUCUGAUUAGCUAGUUGGUGGGGCAACGGCCCACCAAGGCGACGAUCAGUAGCCGGACUGAGAGGUUGACCGGCCACAUUGGGACUGAGACACGGCCCAG
rnacentral:rRNA from 1 species